CACACAAACACACAACUUUAUACACACAUCGACCCACUUUGCCAAAGGGUGACAGGUUUUUCCGAGUGCAUAGAUGUUUUAUUAGCAAAUCAGAGAUGAAAUGCAGCAACCUGCCUCUGGCAUUAGAUAAAGCACCAUGAAUAUUAUCUCUGUUCAAUAUUCCAUUUGUUUUUUUUCCCCACAUAACAUUUUUCAUAAGCUCUUUGGCCCCUUUACAUGACUCUCCCCUUCUCCAGGGGAAUCUGGUUAUUUUUGCAGAGCCACUUACAGCUGUUGGAAAACACCACCCUGAAGGUUGGAAACCAAGUACAUCAGAUACCAUUAAAAUAACAGCACUGGUGUUGUGUAACAAUUACAGAUUUGUGCUGACUGCGGUGAGAGUAAAGCAGAAAUAAAAUAAACCAGCAGGAACAUUUUAAUUUAAAGGAUCAAUGGAGAGUGAAACAGUACCCCCUAAGGAGCAGUUUAUCAGCAAUAACUCAGAACUGAAGGUCUGCUGGACUCUAAGAAAGCUUAAAGGAUGUCUUUUUUUUGCAACAGUCAGACUUGUUAAUAACCAGAUAAAAACGCUCUCAUGGAGUCACAUAUACAGUUGAAACUAAACUUUAGCAUAAACUGUAUAAAUGUACACACAACCUUUUAUUCUUCACUGUGUGACAUUAAAUUAGACUCUAUCUCUAUUUGCUACAUCCCAGAAGAUUUUCUUCUCAAAAUUUCCAGGGGCUUUGUUAGAGGUUAAAUUACAACAUCUGAGGUCAAUUGAUUUACAUCUAAGGAUGUACAUGACGAGAUACACGUUAAACACACUCCUUCCUUGUGUGACAUCAUGGAAAAAUCAAAAGAAGUCAGUUAAGAUAACGGGAAGGGAAUUAUGGACCUCCAAAAGUCUGGUUCGUUCUUGGGUAAAGUUUUUAGCUGCCUGAAGGUGACACGUUUAUCGGCUCAAACACUUAUAUGCAAAUAUAAACAGCACAAGAAGUCACCACACCGUUCAGAAUUGAAACUGGUUCUGUAUCCCAGAGAUUAACAUCUUUUGAUGCAAAAUGUGUUUAUCAAGAUUUUAAGAACAAAAGCAUAAAACCCUGUAAAGAUUCUAACUAGCCCUAAACCUAACCCUAAACUAGUUAGAAAAUGUCAUGAUCCACAGUGAAAAGAGUCUUAUACCAACAUGACCUGAGAGAAGACAGCUAUUACCCCAAAAACAAUCUAAAUAGCCUGGUUACAGUUUUCAAAUGGAGACAGGAACAAAACCCUUCAUGAUUGGAAACAUGUCUUGUGAUUUGAUGAAACAAAAAUUUCAAUGUGGCCAUAAUGAACAUUGCUACAUUUGGAGGAAGACAAGGGAAUUAACUGAGAGGACAUUGGUGGCAGCAUCAUGUUAUGGAGGUGUUUCACUGCAGAAAGGACUUCUAUAUUAUUGUAUAUGUAUGUUGGGCUUGCUGAUUAAGAAGGCCAGCUAGAAUUGAGAUUACUUAAUUUGUUGUGACUAAGCUUCAUGAUAUUUGAAACCUCAAAGGCAGAAACCAUUUAAGACUGACAAGUCAAACUUCACUGAAAGCCUCCUCAGCAUUCAGUCAAGUUUUACAGAGCUGGUAUUUGAGUGUGCUGGUGUGCAGGUGUGCUGAAGCAGAGACACAUCUGUAAGCUGCAGGACACCAGACCUUGAUGACUAGUUUGACAUAUGGGAUUAAGACAUAGCAUCUUUAGCCCAAGCAAGAGAGAAAAGUGAAUUUGUUUUGCUUUGGAUGAUUUCCUCUCCUGUAACAUGCAGAGAACUUGCUUUAAAUUAUAAUUUUAAGCUAAUUUUAAGCUAAUUUUGAUAUUUUACUUUAAAGUUCAACCUAUGCCCAUGUACACUGAUAAGAUGGCAGUCAAGUCCACAAUUUGCGUCAGCUUGUGGUUUCUGCCCACAUUCAUCAUGAUCUUUGGGACUUUGUUAUUUGUGUUCUGAGUUCAUUGUGGAUUUAUCACUCUUUGGCAUUUGAUAUAGUUUAUUCCUGGGUUGAUGUCAAGGUGGUUAAGCUUUUAAUGCAUAUUUUUUCUGCGUUUUAGCAAGGGUUUUAUUGUUUGUAGCAUAGGUUUAGUUGCAUGAUUUUUCUGUUUAUUGCCUCGCCCCAAUUGCAAAAAAUGGCCCACACUUUUCCAGAAUGAAUAACCAAUCAGGAAGAAGCUGUAGGUUUUAAAGAGGAAUGGUUCAAAGCAAAGGGGAGAGAAUCCAUACCCUGAUAAGCAAAGGAGGACUACCAGCAGAAGAGAAGCACAGAACCAAUACUAGGCCCAGCACCAGAAGAGAGCCAGAAGGAUGCAUUGGAAGAAAUCCAGCAGGGAGAUUGGGGGCAGCAGCACAGAAGGGCAACACGAGCAGCAGCAGCAGUGGCACCGUGAUCUCUACAGGGGGAAGCAAAAGACCUCAGACAGAGAGAAGACUCUAGGGCUCUGAGAAUGACAAGUCUAUGGCUGUUCCCCAUCCAGUUAUUUAGUAAGAAUGACUGGUGCACUGUUUUCCAGGUGAUUCCCACCUUGCCCAGUGCUGUUGAAGUGCAUGAAGGCUGUGAGGCCUCUCAAUGUCUUUGACAGUUUCCCUUCUCAACUGGAUCAAGCAAAGCUGGACUCCUAGGUUUCGAAGGAUUUAAAAUCUUGGUUUUAGUUAUUUGAUAUUUCUUAGGAGGGUUUUAGUUUCUUUCUUAUCUUUUUACAGCUUUUUCUUUCUGGGUUUAGAGAUUUUCUAAUUUAUUUUAAGAAGCUUUUGGACAAAUUUUUACCCAAUCUUGAUUUUGGGUGCCAGAACUGUCACACCUUCUGAUGGGUACCACUUAUAUUUCUGUAUUUGUAUUUAAAUGCAAACCUCUCCCUUCUGGGCUACUUUGAGAAGACUGCUAACAAUAAAGUUUGUAUGAUGUGUGUGGAGAUUAUCUGACUGCAUUUGCAUCAUUAACAAUAAUUUUGUGUUAACCUGCACAUUUUUGUACUUCAGUUGAAGUGUGUGCAGUGUAACAGUAUUGGUCUAACACCUUAUCAUUGCUUAGGGAUUAGAGAGCCAUGUACGAGAAUACACACACUUAAAACAAAGGAGACACCAGCCAGAGUUCCAGGAAGCAGGUGCUGGAUGAGGCUGUGGUCAGUCUGGUCCUAAAAGAUUCGCUGCCCUUUACAGCAGUGGAAGAUGAGAGGUUCAGUGAGCUCAUCCAUUUGAUGGAUCCCACCUGUUCUCCCUACUAGAAAGGCAUUAAAGAAGACAGUGGAAGAUAAAUAAAACAAAACCAAGGAAAAGGCCAAAGAGGACAUGCAGAUGGUAGCUGCUGUCUGCCUGACAGCAGAUAUGUGAACGUCAGUGACAAUGGAGGUACACCUGACCAUAACCUGCCACUUCAAUGAUGCUGAUGACAAACUGGGGACUGUUGCUUGGAGUGGAGCAUUUCUUUUCAAGUCACACAUCUGAGAAUCUGGCAAGGGUAGUGCAAGUUCACAUGGAAGAGAGGGAAAUCACUAAUAAGGUGAACCACCUAGUGACCGAUUAUGCACCAAUUAUGAUUCCAUGUGCUAAGGCCUUUAAAGAUCAGGCAGUCUGCCUUUAUUGCUCAUGGACUGAGUUUAGUAGUCUGAAAAUCAUUUAACCAAAUCCCUGCCCUCUGUGACAAAGGCCAAAUGAAUAGCUACAUAUUUCUGCUCAAGCACCACAGAUAGAGAGACCAGAUGGGAUCCAAAUACAGAUGGGAAGAUGACCACAAAAGCUUGUAACUGAUGUGGACACACGUUAAAUUGGAACGUCUGUUUCAGCUCAAAGAACCUGUGGCAGCAGACGUCACAACAUUUAGAACUGAUAUAAACUCAUUGACAUGUCAGGAGAAUCAAAUAAUUGAGUGAGUUUUACCAGGCAACUGUAGAGCUCUCAGAAGAGAAAGGUAUGAAUCUCAAAUGUUACACCCUUGAUGAACAUGCUGCACCUGCAGUACUCUCCAAGUCUGCAAAUAUCAGUAAAGACUUUGCAAGACUUCUCACUGACAACCUUUUGAGGCGUGUAAGAACAUGUGGCAUAUUGCACCCAGAUGCCAUUGUGGACUUGGAGCAGUACCUGGCUGAAAUCAACUUGAGACAUGAGGAUCCAAUGGAGUACUGUCAUAUCCCCACUUGUACCGCAUGCCACUGAGGUUUUCUAUGCCCACCAGCAUCAUCAGUGCCUUUUAAAACAGUGUUUUCAUGGCUUGGGAGGCCAUCAGCCAAUUAAUUAACACUUUCUUAUCAGAAACAAGUUAAAAAAUAGUCCUGUUCUAAAUAAAAAAAAUUAACCCCCAAAUACCAACUUAUAUUUUAACUAUUAGCGUUAAUGUUUAUUUUGAGACAAUAACAUGCCUGGCGUAGUGAACAUGACACGACUUUGCAGACAUUACUCUUCAAAUUAAACACAAAGCAUACUGUGUCCGCCCC